rnacentral:lncRNA from 1 species
GGAGCGCGUGUGAAUAUCAUGCGAAGAAAUACCGUUAGAGGGAAUCUUCAAAAAAAGUUGUUGAGAGAGGUGAGCGUUGAGCGUUGAGGGGGAAGAUCAAUCUUUACAAUCAAGAGAGACGAUAUUUUGGUGGGAAACAUGACUAUCAUAGCUUAAGCGUACUCUCACCUCCAACAGUAACCCAUUCAUCUCGGUUAAGC